rnacentral:rRNA from 1 species
GACGAACGCUGGCGGCGUGCUUAAUACAUGCAAGUCGAACGGAAAGGCCCUGCUUGCAGGGUACUCGAGUGGCGAACGGGUGAGUAACACGUGGGUGAUUUGCCCUGCUCUUCGGGUUAAGCCUGUGAAACUGGGUCUAAUUACGGCCAGGUGCUAUUUUUAGCGUGAUGGUUGGAAAGUUUUGUCGGUUUUUGAUGAGACUGCGGCCUAGCUGCUUGGUGGGGGGGUAAUGGGCUAACAUGGCGGCGUCGGGUAGCGGGCCGGCGGGGGUGGACGGCGACAUUGGGACUGAGGGGCGGCCGAGGCACCGACGGGUGGCAGCAGGGGGGAAGAUUGCACAAUGGACGCAAGCCUGAUGCAGCGACGCCGCGGGGGGGAUGACGGCCUUAGGGUUGAAAACUCUUUGCGCUAGGGACUAAGCUUUUUGUGACGGUACCUAGAUAAGAAGCACCGGCUAACUACGUG